rnacentral:rRNA from 1 species
CCUACGGGGGGCUGCAGUGGGGAAUAUUGGACAAUGGGGGCAACCCUGAUCCAGCCAUGCCGCGUGUGUGAAGAAGGCCCUCGGGUUGUAAAGCACUUUCAGUGAGGAAGAACGCCUGGUGGUUAAUACCCAUCAGGAAAGACAUCACUCACAGAAGAAGCACCGGCUAACUCCGUGCCAGCAGCCGCGGUAAUACGGAGGGUGCGAGCGUUAAUCGGAAUUACUGGGCGUAAAGCGCGCGUAGGUGGCUUGAUAAGCCGGUUGUGAAAGCCCCGGGCUCAACCUGGGAACGGCAUCCGGAACUGUCAAGCUAGAGUGCAGGAGAGGAAGGUAGAAUUCCCGGUGUAGCGGUGAAAUGCGUAGAGAUCGGGAGGAAUACCGGUGGCGAAGGCGGCCUUCUGGACUGACACUGACACUGAGGUGCGAAAGCGUGGGUAGCAAACAGGAUUAGAUACCCUAGUAGUC